ACAACAUUGGGACCGUCAGUCUACUGAGCAAUAUCACCCGCUCGGUGGAAGAUCUUCCAUUAGGCGU
rnacentral:pre_miRNA from 1 species